ACGGUGGCUCGCUGCUGAGGCCCUCGCCCGAGGGGUUUCUUCAGCGCUGAAAUUCGGGCUGGCGCGCCGCUGCGCCUGGGUGCGGCGCGUAAGACUUCACAGGCUGGCGAUGGAGUCUGCUUGUCUUCUGGUGAGCUUCAUCGUGAGAACAAUCGGAAGACUAUGCAUGUAGACGCCCGGCUAGAAACUGUUCAGGACGCGGGUUCGAUUCCCGCCGCCUCCACCA
rnacentral:tmRNA from 1 species